AACGAACGCUGGCGGCGUGCUUAACACAUGCAAGUCGAACGCGAAAGGGACUUCGGUCCUGAGUAAAGUGGCGCACGGGUGAGUAACGCGUAGAUAACCUAUCUUCAUGUCUGGAAUAAUACGCCGAAAGGGGUACUAAUACCGGAUACUCUUGCUUUAUAUAAGUUUUGCAAGCAAAGGUGGCCUCUGCAUAUGCUACUGCAUGAAGAGGGGUCUGCGUACCAUUAGCUAGUAGGUGGGGUAAUGGCCUACCUAGGCGACGAUGGUUAGCGGGUCUGCGAGGAUGAUCCGCCACACUGGCACUGGAACACGGGCCAGACUCCUACGGGAGGCAGCAGUGAGGAAUAUUGCGCAAUGGGGGCAACCCUGACGCAGCGACGCCGCGUGAGUGAGGAAGGCCUUCGGGUCGUAAAGCUCUGUCAAAGGGAAAGAAGUGCAUGAUGGCUAAUACCUGUCAUGUUUGACGGUACCCUUAAAGGAAGCACCGGCUAACUCCGUGCCAGCCGCCGCCGUAAGAC
rnacentral:rRNA from 1 species